rnacentral:rRNA from 1 species
AUUGAACGCUGGCGGCAGGCCUAACACAUGCAAGUCGAACGAGUGGCGGACGGGUGAGUAAUGUCUGGGAAACUGCCUGAUGGAGGGGGAUAACUACUGGAAACGGUAGCUAAUACCGCAUACCAUCAGAUGUGCCCAGAUGGGAUUAGCUGGGUGGUGGGGUAACGGCUCACCAAGGCGACGAUCCCUAGCUGGUCUGAGAGGAUGACGAGACAAACUGGAACUGAGACACGGUCCAAACCCCUACGGGAGGCAGGAGUGGGGAAUAUUGCAAAAUGGUCGCAAGCCGGAUGCGGCCAUGCCGGGUGUAGGAAGAGGGCCUUCGGUCUGUAAAGUACUUUCAUCGAGGAGGCGGUACCCACAGAAGAAGCACCGGCUAACUCCGUGCCAGCAGCCGCGGUAAUAC